CACGGUGGGGGGGGGGAGCAGAAAGCUUACAAGAGUCAGUGUGGCAAGAGGACCCUAAGAGAAAACGUCCCUGUAAGUAAACGUGAGCAAAGCUCCAAUGAACUCACAGAGACUGAGGCAGACACAGGCCCUGCAAGGUUCUGCAACAGGGAGAAUGGCUGAUUGAUUACCCAGUAGUGACUGAAACCCUGGAACUGGCCUAAAGACUGCUCCUGGUUGAAUUUCAUAUUUCAUAUAUUGAAAUCGCCACUGCCUGAGAGACAGCUGUACCUGGCAGCAGAGGGAAGCAGUAUUUAAAGGAUAAACCCCUUCCCUUCAUACAGUCUGGCAUGAAGCUCCUACCAUCUAAAGAAUGCGGAACAACAUAAAUUCAAACAGAGAGAAUGGGCAUCAGCCUCUUCAUUUCUUCAACCUGGCCCUAUCAUUUUAACUUGAAAUCAAAACAAAACCAGGAGUAUCCAAGUAUAGGUGUUGCAGAAAAAUUUAAAAGAAAGAAAAAAAAGAAAUGAAAAAAACUUGCAACAGGAUCUGUUGUGCAGAAAUAUUAAAAAGGAGAACGAAAAAUAACCAAAAAGAAAAAAAAAACCUUUCAACAGGAACAAAAGAAUCCCAAGAAUGUAAAUAAUUCUCUUACUUUUUCAGAGAAAAAUAGGCUUGAAAAUAAAAUGGAGAAAGAGCAAGCUUGAAGAGCCAGCAGAGCCUGCAUCCAGCUUCCACCCCACGCAAGAUGUCUCUUGGCCUCCAGCUGUUGCAUCUGCUCCCUGCAGCAUCUUCUCUAGCCCUGGCAAUCUAUCCCUCAGGUCCUAUGUUGGAUAUGCCUUCCCAUGUUUUCUAUGGGCUACUGCAAAAUCACAGAAAUUUUUCUAGUCCAGUUGUCCAAAGGGCCAGUUGUGUUUAGUACCUUGCUAUGGUUUGAGCUAAUGGCUGGGAAAACUUUUUUAAAACCUGUAACUCUAGGAUGUGCAACAAUGUAUCAAAAUGAAAACGAAACAAAGCUGAAAAAAAGCAAACAGGAAACCCAA